rnacentral:rRNA from 1 species
GGAACCUGGUUGAUCCUGCCAGUAGUACAUGCUCGUCUCAAAGAUUAAGCCAUGCAUGUCUAAGUAUAAGCGAUUGUACAGUGAAACUGCGGAUGGCUCAUUAAAUCAGUCAUAAUCUCCUUGAUGGUUGACUCUUACAUGGAUAACCGUAGUAAUUCUAGGGCUAAUACAUGCGUAGGGCGGCGCGCCUUUCG